CUUAUAGCUAUGGUAGCAUAGCAAAUGCUGGGUCCUGUGGAGUUUCUGGUUCAAUAUAUUUGACCUAGGUUAUGUUGUUUGUGACAUCUAAGCCGAUUUUUGUUUCUACAGGAACAGUCGACCCAUCCAGUCAUGACUUCCUGCUUGGCCUCAUGGGUACGUUAACGGGAGAACAGCUAACCUGUGAAGACAUGUUGCAGUGUUCCCUCAGACAUUCUCAAUAUCAGCAAUAGAAAAACUUGGACACGCCUGGACUUUCUGCUUUCUAGGCCAAUGCGCUACCUACUGAGCUACCAGGCCAACAGUACAAAGGCAUCUGGUUGGACCUGGUAGCCGGCAUAACUGCACUGUUUACACUACAUCCCCUAAUUUACAUCACUGAGUCUCCAUGAGUCUCAGUUGAGACUUUGUCUCAGGAUCAUAACAAUAAAACAUUUUGGCCUGUUUCAUAAUAUUUGUGUUUCAGGAGGAGGUGAUCCAUUCAGUCCAGAUGUUCACAUUAAUAUCCCAGUUGUAAGUUCAGGUGUGACAGCAGCUCCUUAUCCAGAUCAGAGUAGCAGUUCCAGCCUGGACGUACCUGCAGGUCCUGCUCAGCACAUCAGUCAAUUGGGACCUGACCAAUCACAGCACAGCUCUGCUUCAGGUUUCUCUCACUCUGCAGACCAGGGAGGUGUUUCCUCAUCAUCAUCACACAGUGAAGCUCAAAAACAGCAGACAGGUAACUUCACCUGUUACACACUGGAAGUAGAAAACAGAAUGUGAGCUCAGGAAUAAACCAGAUAUUUUGCUGCUGUAAAGUUUUUCC
rnacentral:lncRNA from 1 species